rnacentral:rRNA from 1 species
CGUGUAGGUGGUCAGGUAAGUCAGAUGUGAAAGCCUUCUGCUUAACAGAAGAAGUGCAUUUGAAACUGCUUGGCUAGAGUACGGGAGAGGAGAGUGGAAUUCCCGGUGUAGAGGUGAAAUUCGUAGAUAUCGGGAGGAACACCAGUGGCGAAGGCGGCUCUCUGGUCCGAUACUGACGCUGAGACGCGAAAGCGUGGGGAGCAAACAGGAUUAGAUACCCUGGUAGUCCACGCCGUAAACGAUGGGCACUAGGUGUAGGAGGUAUUGACCCCUUCUGUGCCGAAGCUAACGCAUUAAGUCGCCCCGCCGUGGGAGUACGGCCGCAAGGACUAA